GCCUUAAGCGGUGGCGCGCGCCUGUAGUCUCAGCUACUUGGGAGGCUGAGACAGGAGGAUCGCUUGAGUCCAGGAGUUCUGGGCUGUAGUGCGCUAUGCUGAUGUCUGCACUAAGUUCGGCAUCAAUAUGGUGACCUCCCAGGAGCGGGAGGUCUGGGAGGUUGCCUAAGGAGGGGUGAACCGGCCCAGGUCAGAAACUGAGCAUGUCAAAACUCCCUGUACUGAUCAGUAGUGGGAUCGCGCCAGUGAAUAGCCACUUCACUCAAGCCUGGGCAACAUCGCACCCGUCUCUU
rfam:Otolemur garnettii contig107995, whole genome shotgun sequence.